CCUAACCCCUCUUUCCCUCCUCUCUCUCUCUCUCUCGGGAACCCUAGCGCUCCACUCCUCCCUUGCCGCCGCCACCUCCGGCGGUAAUCGAAGACCAUAUCCGGUGAGAUCUGGCGCGCGCAGCGAGAUCCAUCUCUCUCUCACACACGAGAAGGAAAUCCCCGCCCCAUUCCCACGACUCAUCUGCCUCUCCCUCGAUCCCCUUCCUUCCUGAGGACGCACGCGCCGCCGCCUCCCCGAUCCCCUUCUCCCCUCGCCCCCCCACAUCAAGCCGCCAUCCACCUCGUCGCCUCCCUGAUUCAUCCUCCUCCUCCUCCUAUUCCCCUUAUCAGAUCCAUCCAUCCAUUCAUUUUUCCAUCAGAUCCACCUGACGCCAUCGCAUCCCCUUCUCGCUUGCAGGGUUGCAGGCGAUUCGAUCUGGUCUGGGUCCAUGGCGUCCAAGGCCGUGGCGGCGCUACUGGUGACGGACGAGCUGGCCCUGCCGCUCCGCGCGGUGGGGGACGGCAGCGGGGAAGCACGCAGCUGCGCAGCGACCGCGUGAGGUUUCAGUGAGCGGCCGCAUUGCUGCGGCAGGAGGACCAACGCGCGCUUCCGGCGACGAGGCUCCAUCGCGCGAACCAAGACACGGACUCGACAGGAUGGCUCUGCGGGACUCCAGUGUCAGAAGCAGUGGUUGGGGCUACGCGGUGACCCCAGGACGCCGCUGCCCGAUUCCGGCGCGAAGGCAACCUCGCGCAAAUCAUGGCGGCCUUGACCAACAAGGAGGGGUCCGUGCCGCGCGGCGACCGGUGGUGAGCGUCGGUGCUGGCGAGUUUGGGUCAGUACGUCGCGACGGCGGCGAGCCUGCUCGGCGGCCCAUGAUUGGACCUUGGAGCCGCGCGAAGAGAAGGGGAUCCACUCCAAACCCAGGAUAGGCAACAUGGUGACUCUAGUGCUGACAUCUCCCGGUCGCGGCGCGUGUGAUCUGACUGUGUUGGGUUGGUGUCUAGUUGCAGGACAAGGUGGCGAACUCACUGUUUGAGAAGACGUCGAACCAGUUAGGCAUCGGCUGCGCGCUACCGCCCAAGAAGGACCUCCACCUGUUCGCCAGCGCCGCAUACUCAAGCAGCGCAUCCGUGCCCAGCCGCGGUUGUUUUUGCCCAUUUAUGUUGUUGCUUUAGUAGCAUUCUUUCCUUUCUUUUAUGUAGCAGCAGAGCACCACUCUUACUAUGCACUUCGCUCCAGAUUCUGCUACAAUUACAAAUUUAAAAUGCAUUCAUGCAUGAGCAGUGCAUGUGUUGGCUGUCCAUGAGAUCAUGAAUAGUAUGAGCCUUAGAGUCUUGUUCGAACUCAUUGAUGCAACAGAACUCAUUUGGAGAGCUACCUACUCAUUUGGAUGUAAUAUCAUGCUUGCUCUUUUGAAAUCGAUAAUGAUGCUCUAAAUGUUAGUCAUAUUUCCAUUGUGGAUUAGCUUCUGCCCCUCAAAUGCUAUUCACAAGUUGCAUCCCUUGACUCUGUAUUCAUGAGUAGUAUACAACCUGAGAUGUCCGAUUGUAUACAAACUGCACCUCGAAAUUGAUAUUUUCUAGUCUGUUUCUUUGAUUGUAAAUGUUUCUUCACUAUAAAUCUUCUAUCUGUGAUAAGUGCAACUAGAAGAAUGUGUCCCAUCUAAAAUUAUGUAAUCCCUAUUAGCUGAAACUUGAGCAUUACAAAGUUUCAUUUCUAAGUCUAGUUUGUUGAUAAGCCAUCCUCCUCCUCUUUUGGGAUUUAUCGUGCAUACACAACACUUCAUGAAAAUAAACUACAUGCGAUAUACUCAAAUAGCACUAGGGUCUGAGACUAUUUUAUGGUGUUGUGGAUAUACUUUGUGAUUUACUAUUAUUGAUCUGCGCUUUGGUGUCAUAUUAUGGUAUAAUAUAUUUUGUUUUGGCUCUUUCUCUGUUGCCAGGAAAGUGGUGAGGAGAUGUUGAUGAUGCCUACUUGCUUGGCUGCUACGGUGAUGCAUGCACCGAUGAAGCAAGCACACAUGCAAGGCUGGCCCCAUGUAUCUUCCUUGGCUGCGAACAUCAUCUACAGGAUAGCAAUAUGACCAGGACAAGCUACAAGCUCCCAGCGCGUCUGAUCCAGGGUGAAUGGCCAUGGUCACGAGCUCCUCAGAAUCAAAAUAGGAUGGCAAGUUGUGGAAGCUGGAGCAUGUCGCAUAAGAGAGAGCAAUGAAAUCCAUUGUACUGUUCCGUUAAAAAAAGUACAUUGUGCUGUUAUGAUAGUAGCAGAUUUGCCAUCUUUCUUAUUGUAUAGUCCUGUGUAAGGAAAUGUAUUCCUGAGAUGAUUUUUGUGUUAUGUAAACCUGGGAGAUAUUUUCUUUUUGUGUUAUGUAAACCUGGGAGUUUUCCUAAUUUGAAUGAAAUAAUGUUGGAUGUAU